UCCAGCCUUGUGGUGUUGAGUGACAGCUGUGGUAGAAUGGACAGCCAGGUACCAUAUUUCAAUAUGUAGUCUCCAGUUUUGAUGAUGUCAAGAAAAGAUUCUGAGAAAUUCAUGAAUGACCAGUUUUUAUGACCAUGGAUGCACUGAUGACAUCAUUGCUGACUGUCCCAGGGAGAAGCAUUGGACUCUCCAUUUGAGAAACAACUGCUUUAAAAUAGCCAAAGUCAUAAAUCAAAGAACAACAGUAUGAAGAUUGUUCUUCGAUCUUCCAAUGUCAAAGCAAAGCUAUUUAUGGAGAUAACAACUGAAUGCUGUGCACACUUCUUCUUCUUGAAGGCUGUUCUCUAAGGCAGAAUUAUCCAAAAUAGCCAACUCAUCCCUCCUUUCAGCAAUUCCAAAAUUAUAGAGCCAGUGAUCAAUAGUGUGGUGUCAAGCUUGAAUAAAGUCUCUAAGAAAAGUAAAAAUUAAGAAGAUAGAUGUAUCUAUAUGUGAAAAAAAAAUAGGACUGAGAGG